rnacentral:rRNA from 1 species
GACGGGGGGGGCAAGCGUUGUUCGGAAUUACUGGGCGUAAAGGGCUCGUAGGUGGCCAACUAAGUCAGACGUGAAAUCCCUCGGCUUAACCGGGGAACUGCGUCUGAUACUGGAUGGCUAGAGUUUGGGAGAGGGAUGCGGAAUUCCAGGUGUAGCGGUGAAAUGCGUAGAUAUCUGGAGGAACACCGGUGGCGAAGGCGGCAUCCUGGACCAACACUGACGCUGAGGAGCGAAAGCCAGGGGAGCAAACAGG